rnacentral:misc_RNA from 1 species
UGAGAAUACUGAGUACAGAGCUAGUUCGGCUCAGCGACGCGAGUAUGGUCGAGAGCUUCUCUCACAUACUUCAGUGGUUCUUGAGUUCCUUCAUCGUCAGAGUGAUAUGAGUUUUAACAGUAGCAUUCAACUCCAGGGCAGGCACAGAAAAAUUUUGCGUUGUUUGUUAAGUUGGGUUCGAGCUGGUUGUUUCUCGGAGAUUCCACCUAACUCUUUGGCUGGACAUCCACUUCUGAGUUUCGUUUUUAACUCGUUGCAGGUUUCGUCUUCCUUUGAUCUAGCCAUUGAAGUUCUCACUGAACUUGUGAGUCGACAUGAGUGUAUACCACAAGUUUUGCUAUGCAAGGUUGGAUUUCUUAGG